GGUAACCUCGACCGGUUAAGCAAAAAGGCAGGAAAGUCAUUGGCUAGCCUUGUUAGGUGCUGACUACGACUGUAGAUGAGCCAUUAAGUGUUUGAAGUGUUACAGGCCAAAAUAGAAAAAAAUAGUAAGAGCAUAUUGGUAACUUUGACCGGUUAAGCAAAAAAGGCAGGAAAGUCAUUGGCUAGCCUUGUUAGGUGCUGACUAAGACUGUAGAUGAGCCAUUAAGUGUUUGAAGUGUUACAGGCCAAAAUAGAAAAGAAUAGUACUUUUUUUUUUUUACUGAUUUUGUUCACCAAAAUAUAUGCAUAAAUACUUUUUUUUUUUUUUUUUUUAACUGAUUUUGUUUAUCAAUAUACAUGCAUUAAUACUUUUUUUUUAACUGAUUUAAGUGUUACAGGCCAAAAUAGAAAAAAAUAGUAAGAGCAUGUUGGUAACUUUGACCGGUUAAGCAAAAAAGGCAGGAAAGUCAUUGGCUAGCCUUGUUAGGUACUGACUAAGACUGUAGAUGAGCCAUUAAGUGUUUGAAGUGUUACAGGCCAAAAUAGAAAAAAAAUUGUACUUUUUUUUUUUUUUUACUGACUUUGUUUAUCAAUAUACAUGCAUAAAUACUUUUUUUUUUUUUAACUGAUUUUGUUUAUCAAUAUACAUGCAUUAAUACUUUUUUUUUUUUUUAACUGAUUUUGUUCAUCAAUAUACAUGCAUAAAUACUUUCUUUUUUUUUUUUUUAACUGAUUUUGUUCAUCAAUUUACAUGCAUAAAUACUUUUUUUUUUUUUUAAACUGAUUUUGUUCAUCAAUAUACAUGCAUUAAUACUUUUUUUUUUAACUGAUUUAAGUGUUACAGGCCAAAAGAGAAAAAGAUUGUAUGAGCAUAUUGGUAACCUCGACCGGUUAAGCAAAAAAGCCAGGAAAGUCAUUGGCGAGACUUGUUAGGUGCUGACUAAGACUGUAGAUGAGCCAUUAAGUGCUUGAAGUGUUACAGGCCAAAAUAAAAAAAUAAUGUAUGAGCAUAUUGGUAACCUCGACCGGUUAAGCAAAAAAGGCAGGAAAGUCAUUGGCUAGCCUUGUUAGGUGCUGACUAAGACUAAGACUAAGAUGAGCCAUUUAGUGUUUGAAGUGUUA
ensembl:lncRNA